rnacentral:rRNA from 1 species
GACGAACGCUGGCGGCGUGCUUAACACAUGCAAAUCGAACGGUGAAGGGGUCUGCUUUUGUGGGCCCUGGAUGAGUGGCGAACGGGUGAGUAACACGUGAGUAACCUGCCCCCUUCUUCUGGAUAACCGCAUGAAAGUGUGGCUAAUACGGGAUAUUCUGGGUCUGUCGCAUGAUGGGUCUGGGAAAGAUUGCGCCUUUGGGUGUUUUUGGUGGGGGAUGGGCUCGCGGCCUAUCAGCUUGUUGGUGGGGUGAUGGCCUACCAAGGCGGUGACGGGUAGCCGGCCUGAGAGGGUGGACGGUCACACUGGGACUGAGACACGGCCCAGACUCCUACGGGAGGCAGCAGUGGGGAAUAUUGCACAAUGGGCGCAAGCCUGAUGCAGCGACGCCGCGUGAGGGAUGGAGGCCUUCGGGUUGUAAACCUCUUUCGCCAGUGAAGCAGGCCUGCUCCUUGUGGGUGGGUUGACGGUAGCUGGAUAAGAAGCGCCGGCUAACUACGUG